CCUUGGCCUUGACAUACUAAGAACUUUCCAGAGAUGGAUUGGUGCCUUUCGGGAACUUAGAUACAGGUGCUGCAUGGCUGUCGUCAGCUCGUGUCGUGAGAUGUUGGGUUAAGUCCGCAACGAGCGCAACCCUUUUCCUAUUUGCCAGCGGGUAAUGCCGGGAACUUUAAGGAUACUGCCAGUGACAAACUGGAGGAAGGCGGGGACGACGUCAAGUCAUCAUGGCCCUUACGGCCAGGGCUACACACGUGCUACAAUGGUCGGUACAAAGGGUUGCUACCUCGCGAGAGGAUGCUAAUCUCAAAAAGCCGAUCGUAGUCCGGAUCGCAGUCUGCAACUCGACUGCGUGAAGUCGGAAUCGCUAGUAAUCGCGGAUCAGAAUGCCGCGGUGAAUACGUUCCCGGGCCUUGUACACACCGCCCGUCACACCAUGGGAGUUUGUUGCACCAGAAGUAGGUAGUCUAACCGCAAGGAGGACGCUUACCACGGUGUGGCCGAUGACUGGGGUGAAGUCGUAACAAGGUAAGCGUAGAUGA
rnacentral:rRNA from 1 species